ACAUCCCAUCUGGGAGAGGCGUGGCUGUCCUAACCAGGAACACCCCAUGAUUCCCAGUUGCCUUUGGUUCUGCUCACGGGAGUUCUUGGUUUCAGCCAUCCUAGACAUCCCCAUCUACAAGAGU
rnacentral:precursor_RNA from 12 species